rnacentral:rRNA from 1 species
GAUGAACGCUAGCUACAGGCUUAACACAUGCAAGUCGAGGGGAAACGAUAUUGGAAGCUUGCUUCCGAUAGGCGUCGACCGGCGCACGGGUGAGUAACGCGUAACCAACCUGCCCACCACUUGGUAAUAACCUUGCGAAAGUAAGACUAAUGCCCAAUUAUAUCUCUAGAAGACAUCUGAAAGAGAUUAAAGAUUUAUAGGUGAUGGAUGGGAAUGCGUCUGAGUAGCUUGUGGGCGGGGUAACGGCCCACCAAGGCGACGAUCAGUAGGGGUUCUGAGAGGAAGGUCCCCCACAUUGGAACUGAGACACGGUCCAAACUACUACGGGAGGCAGCAGUGAGGAAUAUUGGUCAAUGGGCGAGAGCCUGAACCAGCCAAGUAGCGUGCAGGAUGACGGCCCUAUGGGUUGUAAACUGCUUUUAUAAGGGAAUAAAGUGAGCCUCGUGAGGCUUUUUGCAUGUACCUUAUGAAUAAGGACCGGCUAAUUCCGUGCCAGCCGCCGCAGUAA